AGACAAUGCCCAGACCUCCAGAAACCAUGUGUCAAGCUCGGAUUGCCUUAGACAGGUGCAAUUUAAGAACAGCUUUCAUCCUCUUUUCUCUCAUAUUGUCACACUAUGUGUUCUGACUUCUGGCUCCUUUCCUCACAAGAAGCUCACCCAGCUGGAACUCUUAUGGGACCUUGGCACCAGAGACCACAAAUUCCUCUUUGAAGUUUUCUAACAGCAACAAUGAACCCCUCCUUGUCUUCAGGAGUUUGUCUAGCAGAGGAGUCUGUCAUGUAAUCAGGAAACUCCAGUACACAACGUGAUAGCUCUAAGACAGAGUUUCGCUCUGUCGCCCAGGCUGGAGUGCAGUGGCGCGCGAUCUCGGUUCACUGCAAGCUCCACCUCCCGGGUUCACGCCAUUCUCCUGCCUCAGCCUCCUGAGUAGCUGGGACUACAGGCGCCCGCCACCACACCCAGGAAUCCAACUUGCUGUUUGCUAUCACAUGUGCUAUACAUGCUGUUGAUGAAACUGCUAAAGGGGCUGAAUGUGACUGACGUCUUUGGAAGGAUGAGACUUAGCGUGCCUGUACAGUUGUGUCCAAAUGCUGUCCUCAUCUCCCAAUGAAAAGGGUUUUUCCUUAAGCCUCACAACAAUUUACAGCAUUGCCAGCAGCAUUCAGUACAUUCAGAACAGGAUAAUUUCACCCGCAGCUGAACUAGGGCCAUGCCUGGGACAGACAGAGAAUGGCCUUCCAGCAGACAUGCCAAGAAGCAAGCCAGGGUCAGUGAGUGAAGAGGAGGGCAGGCCCAUUUGAAGCAACACAGUUUAUAUACAUGAAAAGAAAGAAGGAGAGAAGGAAGAAAGGAGGGCGGAAGGAAAGGAAGAAGGGAGAGAAGAAGAGAAGAAAGAAGCAGAGAAAGGAAGAGAAAAGAAAUUACGGCCAGUGCGGUGGCUCACGCCUGUAAUCCUAGCACUUUGGGAGGCCUAAGCGGGCUGAUCACCUGAGGUCAGGAGUUCGUAAGCCAGCCUGGCCAACAUGGUGAAACCCUAUCUCUACUAAAAAUACAAAAAUCAGCAGGGCAUGGUGGUGCGUGCCUGUAAUCCCAGCUACCUGGGAGGCUGAGGUAGGAGAAUCGCUGGAACCCGAGAGGCGGAGGCUGCAGUGAGUUGAGAUCAUGUCACUGCACUCCAGGCUGGGCAACAGAGUGAGACUCUGUCUCAGAAAAAAAAAAAAA
ensembl:lncRNA LUCAT1 lung cancer associated transcript 1